GAACCUGCAUUUCACAAAUCAUGGCUUAGUUUCAAGUGCAGAAGGUAUUUUUAUACCGUGUAAAAAUUAAAACACUAUAAUAAAGCAAUGAGAAUCAAUCUGGCUUUCACAUUCACAAUAUAUUAAAGUAAUAAAUCGUGAAUCACCUUGUCAUAACAGGAGUGGUCUGGCCUUGUUCCAAGAACAUUUAAUUGUGCAGCAUUCUUUUAUGCAGUAGAAGAUUGAUUUUGCUGAAGUGAGUCACAGUAACAACCAUUUCUGGUUUGUUUUGUGUCAUUACAGAAUCGUUCAUCACCCUGGAUGUGACUGUCGUGUGACAGAAACGUGCUGAUAUCAUCGCUGUGGGAUGUAACUUUUGGAGUAUUUUAAGGGAACAUGACAAUGUCCUGGAAAUGCGCAAUAUGAAUAAUCCCAGGACAACAUAAAAAACUAAUUAAUAAAACGGCAGCAAAAUACAGGAGGACUUGGCUAAAGAUUGGCUUGUCAAUCGAUUUUACGUCAUCAAGUUCAGCAUCCAUCUGAUGUCUCUUACACGUCACAGCAAAGUUAGAAACAGACGAAGCUUCCCACGGAACAUUCCCAUAACGCAAGAAAUCAAUGUGGAGACAAGCCAAGAAUCUGGAAUUCUUUGCGCAUGGUUUUAAUGGAGACAUUGGGAAAUUUGCCUGGCCACUUCCGUGCACGGUUCACCUUGGUGCAGCUGAUAUGUGCCUGGCAUCGGUGGCAUGCCGAAUAAUGUCACAGGUCAGUUCACCGCCAUUGCAGGCAUAAUUGAGAGCUCCCAAGACCAACUUACUACCUUCGUCAUUUACAAAAGGACAGGAACACACGGUGUAGGAUCUAGAAUUUAGGUGUCAACUAAAGGGCACAUCGAUGUUUUUACCCAGCAUUUGCCAACCUUGGUGUGUCCUGGACAGGAUUAUGGAAAACAAUCCAGUGGAGCUCCCUUCACUAAUCACUGCUCCUUUAUGCAAGUAUACCAAGUACUGUGGCUAUAAUGGGAAGAGACAGUUAACUGACGCUUCUCCAUGUGGCAACUGUAAAUUCUGCAUGGAGUUCCUGACCUGAAUUGUACAACUCUUUACCACAUGAAUGUGUGUGAAAAUCACAUUAGGGUUGCUUUAAAUGUAUUCUUACCCAAUUUCACAUUUUCUUUUGCAGGAGUUGUGAAGGGAUGGUACAUAUUUUUCACACCAAAAGAAGCAAAAUCUAA